rnacentral:lncRNA from 1 species
GCCCCCGUGCAUUAGAGAGCGCUUCGGGCUUCCCUAGCAGUUCACGAGCGUCGGCAACGGCAGUUUGUCUUGCCUUUUUGGCUUUAGCAGCCGCAUGCUCGCGUGCUUUCUUCGAUUCUCCAGCUUGAACUGGUGCAAAAUCUUGUGUGAGAUGGUAGUACUUCUUCUCUCCGUGGGUGAAGACCGCCACGGGCGCGUGAGUGCCGAAAUGAAUCAGACACGGAGCAGGAGAGAACUUCAUCGCUUCUUCGAUGGUGAUGGCAGGGAAGGACUCACCUGCGAGAGGGAAUCCUUCAAUUAGUACACCGUGUAAUAAAACUUGUACGGAGGAAUAUAUAUUUUUUUAAAGCUUCACAUGUAUAUAUAAACACGGCGUGCUUCUCCUCUAGUUUUUUUUUUUAAAACGGCUUUGGCUGUUUGGACCAGCAAGCCAUGCUCAAUUUCUCCUUGCUUCAUGAUUUCUAGAUAACGUGGAUCAUGGAACAUCUCUUUUUUUUUCUAAAGCUAGCACGAAGUAAACUAGGCACCAAUCGGCCCUUUUGUGUAUAUGUGUACAUAAGUCUGUAGCGCAUAAACACAUCAGACAUAUAUUUUGUUCCGACCAGGAGGCACGUGUGUCUCUCUUUUGUUACUAUCUUUUCCUCACAUAGCAGCCACGAGACAUAUCUUCAGAGCAAGCAUCGUCCGAUCAUAUACAACAACCACGAACGGGCAAUCCUUUUUUUUGACGACCAUUGAAGCGCAGCGAAGAUGGGAGGAGAAUAGAGUCCCACUGGGCGUGCCAUUUUGUUCGGUCGAAAACCGGGCGAAGACAUAGAAAAAUAAUGUAAUGCAAGGGAGACACAUGCACACAUAUACGAGAACCACAUAUUUCAUUAAUUCUUUCUUGAAUAUACAAAAUACAUGAUCAACGAAAAAAAUUGUCUUCUUCCGUCUUCAGCGUCAUGCUUGAGGAGAGGUCUGACUUGUAGAGAAAAUUGCGUAGUUCGCCGAUUCCCGGGGCCUGUUGGGCGCGUCCGGUUAAUUACAUCCGCAAGAUGAGCUUGCAGAAAACCUCCGAUUAAGCUGCACUUCAUGGUCGUCAACUAUCUUGGUCGCCGUCAUAGCCAUAUGCGAUAUACGGCAUAAUAAUUAUGGGUGGCUUU